ACAAGACAAGUCGGUUAGUGAAUAUGGCAGAAACAGCUGACGCUUACAACUGUCACUAACCUGACAAACAUUAUUCAUAUUAAUAAAUAUAUGAUUUGGCUGGUAAUGUACAGCUGACAACCCCAUAUUACCCAGCAGGUCUGCUGUCCUGAGCUCAAUCAACUACAACUAUACAAAUAAGCCAAAAGAUUCGCAUAACCGGAUGUAAACAACAUAACUGCGAUAAGCCCAAUGCUAAUGCUAACUAAGGUAGCUCAAUGCUAACAUAGACUACAGGUCAUAUAUUUAUACAGCUAACUGUAUGGCUAAUAAAUGUGUAACUUCGCCGAGGUUCGCUAAAUGAAUGUCAACGUGUCGAGUGUCGUCUGAGAUAUUAACCCACGAUUCCACCAACGGUAGCUAAAUAUACGGAAACGACCCUGACUUGUGGACUACAACUACCAGGAGAAACCGGAAGGUUUCUCCAACUGUGUCACCUGACGAGCAGGAGCCCACAGCAGCCCUCUCCCCUGGGACACCAUGAGAAUACUGUCUCCAGAAAUAGAGGUCUCUUCCUCUCCUUCCAUCUUGCGCUUCUAGUGACAGGGCGGCUGAUGCACUUUCAUGUCCAGCAGGCUGCACCACUGUAGUGCUCUCCUGUCUGCUGUACCCGAUAUAGAAACAAAACAGAGCCAAAAGGAGAGAGCACAUUACUGUUUUAAAGUCCUUACAUUAGUUGUCUGUCAGUUACUCUAUUGAUUUUAAAAUUCUUUUACUGCCUACUUGUCUGACGUGCUUCCAGUGUGUGAACCAGGAUGGCCUUUUAGGUCCUCUGGAGCUUUGAGUCUCUUAGUUGUUUCAAAGUGCAGGGGAAAUUGCUGUAUUUGGUGAGGAAGCUUUUAGUUUUUAUACUGUGAGUCUUUGGAACAGUCUGAUGACGUGAGAUCAUCUGAAAGUGUGGAUGUUUUUAGAGACACACUUACCUCUCUACCCUGGCUUUUUAUUAGAAUAUUUUACGGCUCUUCUUUAAUUUA